UGAACACACCAGUUCCUCUUCCAUGGCAACGCAUGACCAGGUGACAUCAUAGAGAAGGGGAGCGCUGAGAAGAGCGUCUUAAACUCAUAAACGGAUCAACAAGGUUUGAGCCCUUCUUAGGGGCGGCAGGAAAUGAGGAGGAUAAGGACAAGAAAACGAAGAGAGAAGGAACAGAGUGGUCAGAAUAAUUAUAACGUACGCUGGUGCAGAAAUAGUUCUGCUGAUGCAGGAAGACGUUGAGAGAGAGCGAGAGAGAGAGAAAGAAAGGACAGAGGAAAGGAAGGAGGGAGAGAGAGAGAAAAAGAGAGAGGACUGACAGCCUACUGCCAACUACAGUUUCUUUCACUGUCUGCUGGUAUGUUGCUGGUCUUGGCACCAGUGCCACCCAGUGUUCAAGCGUGUGAGAAAUUGACAUCAAAAGGGCCUGAGUGAGUGAUUGCACAGUGGUGGGAAAAGUCUCACAACCUGGAUUCACUGUAUGGAUUAAGCCCAGAUAUUCCAUGAAUAUAACGGAGUAUAAAAUCCAUGAUCACGACUGCCGUUAGAUGGUGACUAUAUUAUACAACAAAGUGUAAACAGUGACCAUCACAUAUAUUUUUACCCCUACUGCAGAUCUGUAAAAAAGCUUUGGAAGAAUCGUUUCAUUUUAAUUUCAUUUGCUACAGCAUAACUUAACACUGAAAUAUUUGCAGCAGUUCUUUUUUUAAAAAGAAAGCUUUGGAGUUUUUUUU